GUGAUACUUGAGCUUUAUAAUUAUAAGAUGCUAGAAGAUAAUGAAAUUAAGAUUUUAAAUAUCAUGCCCUAUUUAAAUGGCAGUUGUUUUUGGCUGGAUUAGGAGUCAGCACAGGGUUUCGCUCUGUUGGGUAAAUACUCAUCAGCCUGUGAUGACACCGUGAUUAGUGGGUCUCGGUCGGAAAUGAGAUUGCCUUUGCUACCUGGAGCUCCAGCUCCUGGCGUCUUUCAGGCCACCUGGGGAGAAAUCACAGGACUACACAAGGCGUCGUGGUAGCACCGGGGCAGGUUGCUGGAGCCGCUGAGAACAGCUGUCCCUAGCUCAGGGUUAGAGUCGAAUGGGAAACCUGGGUAAUUGGAUCAACAGCCAGAUGUAAUUGCCAACAAACAACAGAGUGAAGUUCCGGCUGAUGAGCUUGCAGCGCAAUUAUUUGCUUUAAUGAAAGAGCACAGUUCGCUCCAGGGGCAGAAACUGCACACGGCCCGCAGUGUCCGUGCAGGUGCUCCGGACCCCUGCAGGUGCAGCCCCGGCCAUUCCUGCCCCAGUGACUUCGGGGUGCUCAUCAUCCCCACUUUAGGGGUGGAGGGACCUGAGGUUCACAGAGCCGCCUUCCUGUGUGCAACGCCACCCAGCGAAGGGCAGAGCUGAAAUUCAGGCCUCAUUCUAGGUCGUCUCCAGGAGACGAUUCUGCAAAGAAAUCUGAGCCAUUAGCGCCGCGCCUCUACAGCCUCCCCAGUGCAGUCAGUGGCUAGGGCCUGGAAGAGGCGAGGCCCAUCCACCUGCACAGAGGAAAACCUCCCUGUACUGCCUCCCACCCGGCCCUGUUCAGAGCGCCCUCUGCCGGCCCCUCGGGGAGGAUGAAGACCAGAGCAGCGAGACCCCCCCCCCCCCAGGCCCGCGCCCUCUAACGUCUGCGACGGGGAAGGCGGCGCGGCGCGCCGCACGUGCAGGUGCGGAAGCAGCCGCACCUGGGUCCACAGCCCCGCCCCGCGCGGCCCCUCAGCCGCCUUUGCGCAAUCCCGCUUCACUUCCUUUCCUGUCCUGCCCCUCCUCUCCGUUUCUAAUAGUGCAGUUAAGUCGAUGAACUUUCUUGUCCCCAGAUUCACAAGCAGCAGUGGCCACCCUGGGUGUGGGUCGGGAGUCGCCAUGGGGCUGUCUGGUUCCACACGAGGCACACGGGGAAGACAGGGAAUCGGAAUGAAGAGCAGGCCAGCUUUGCAGCGGGGCACAGAGCCUGGCCAGGGUGUCCACCUCGGAGCUGGCGGAGUGGCCCCUGCCUUAGGAGAGUCAGAGGCCUCUGCAGGGUGGACGCGACACGCCCGCAGGCGCUCAGAAAGAUGCGAAGCAGAGCUCGGCCUCGCAGGCCCAGCCAGAGAAGGCUCAGGCAGGGCCACGGGCACGGACCCUCGGCCAGACCCCGGCCACAGGGGCAGCGCACGCCCGCAAGUUGUAUUAGCUUUCCUGUGGCUCAGACACGACUCCUGACAGCUGUACCUCGAGGAGGAGAGGACAUCGGCUGGGCCGCCUGCGCGCUGGGACGUCUGGCUGUGGGGUUGCACGGUGGCUUGGAGUGUGAGGGCCCCGUAAGAGAAGCGGUCAAACGCGUGCAGACGCAACUGGGUGCUGAAGAAAAGGAACUGCUCCACCGCGGCCAGGAGCUUCAGGACUGGAUCGGGACAGCCAGAAUGACAGUCGAGCAGAGUGACAUCACGCAGGGAACGCCAGAGCCAGCUGGAACAGCAAACUGGAGGGUUCUUCUAUUUCCCUGGGCAGGGACCCGAGGCACGGGAAGCGGGGUGACCGGAUGCAGGGCCCUCGGGGAGGGGAGGCCAGGUGAGGGCCUGGCGCUUCCUCCCAGCCCGGCUUGUUAUCGCUGCUGACCCGGGACGACGUGCGGCGGCUUUUCUGGGUGGUUAUUACGCGAACACACUCACGGCGGGAAACAUCUGUUGUUGGACACAGCACUGUAGGCACAGCCGUGCCUGGUUGGUCUCUGUUAAUUUCAUUCAUAAAUCAUGGGUUAAGUGGAUGCGGGAGGGAGGCGCCGAGGCAGGGGAGCCAUUUCCCCGCUAGGGGAGUUGGGGACUCGCGCAGCCCUGCCGGCCGGCCGUGAACCCUCCCGCCCUCGCCUCAUGGGCGCUUCACCCCUGGGAAGUCCCAAGGAGGACUCGGGUGCCUCCCUCGAU
rnacentral:lncRNA from 1 species